rnacentral:rRNA from 1 species
UACAGAGGGGGGCAACGUUGUUCGGAAUUACUGGGCGUAAAGGGCGCGUAGGCGGCCCGCUAAGUCGAACGUGAAGUCCCCCGAGCUCAACUCGGGAACUGCGUCCGAUACUGGCGGGCUUGAAUCCGGGAGAGGGGAUGCGGAAUUCCAGGUGUAGCGGUGAAAUGCGUAGAUAUCUGGAGGAACACCGGUGGCGAAGGCGGCAUCCUGGACCGGCAUUGACGCUGAGGCGCGAAAGCUAGGGGAGCAAACGGG